rnacentral:rRNA from 1 species
AUGAACGCUGGCGGCGUGCCUAAUACAUGCAAGUCGAGCGAACAGACGAGGAGCUUGCUCCUCUGACGUUAGCGGCGGACGGGUGAGUAACACGUGGAUAACCUACCUAUAAGACUGGGAUAACUUCGGGAAACCGGAGCUAAUACCGGAUAAUAUAUUGAACCGCAUGGUUCAAUAGUGAAAGACGGUUUUGCUGUCACUUAUAGAUGGAUCCGCGCCGCAUUAGCUAGUUGGUAAGGUAACGGCUUACCAAGGCAACGAUGCGUAGCCGACCUGAGAGGGUGAUCGGCCACACUGGAACUGAGACACGGUCCAGACUCCUACGGGAGGCAGCAGUAGGGAAUCUUCUGCAAUGGGCGAAAGCCUGACGGAGCAACGCCGCGUGAGUGACGAAGGUCUUCGGAUCGUAAAACUCUGUUAUUAGGGAAGAACAAAUGUGUAAGUAACUAUGCACGUCUUGACGGUACCUAAUCAGAAAGCCACGGCUAACUACGUG